UGCUCAGAGUAGAUAACGAAUGGGGGGACAACACAACACAACCUUGACCUUGAGUUUGGCCCCGCCCAUUUUCCCUCUCUUUCUUUCAAGGCCACUCGUUCUCUCUCUUACUUUUCAAGGCCAACCCCUCCCACUUCCCCCACCACUUCAAGGCCAAGGCAUUAUUGGACCUUGAUGUUUUCAAGGUCAAGUUAUUCAUGCUACUCCCCACUUUUUCAAGGCCAACAACUCCUCACUCAUUCAAGAUGAAUCGCGCAAUUGUCCUUACUCAUUUUCCACCCCAAACUGUAUAAAAGAUAAUGUGUUGUGUUGUGUAACACAGUUCUUGUGUAUAUCUACUAUAACAAGAAAUUCUUUAAAAAUGGAACCCAUCAGAAAAAGUUCUAUUUAUAAUACUCCUGAGGAUAUCAUAGUUUGUCCAUACGACAAAAACCACAUUCUUCUUUGGUUUCGGCUCGAAAGGCACAUAUGGAAGUGCCAUCGGGCCGAUAAAGAAAAACAAAGGGCCUUACAUGAAGUGAUGAUGAAGGAAGAAGAGGAGAACUGGGAUCAUUUCAAUGAGCCCAGCUACCUCGACUUCCUGAAAUCUAAAAAAAUUCAUAAUGUCGAAAAACAAAGAUCCUCAUGUGAAGUGAUGAUGAAGGAAGAAGAGGAGAACUGGGAUCAUUUCAAUGAGCCCAGCUACCUCGACUUCUUAAAAUCUAAAAGGAAUCAUAAUGCCUUAAAUUAAAGAAGGUCGGGGUUCUUUCGUAAAAAUAGUGUAGAAUAAGUUUAGCAAAGUAGUAGUAGUCGUAGUAAACUGUAAAUAUUAUAUUAUUGUAUAAAAAAAAUAAAAGUUGUAAAAAAAAGCUACAUGUUUUUAUGUACACCUAUUUCAACCUACUGAUACAAGUAAGUGUGACCUGCAAGCAGAGAGUCGCUCACUGUUUCAAGACCACUCAUUCCCUCUUUAUCUUUGAUGUUUUCAUCUCACUUUUUCUCAUUAUCUCACUUUUUCAAGGCCACAAUAUUGAUGCAUUUUCAUUCAAGGUUAAAAAGUGGGGGUAUAGUUAAUAUAUAGAAUUUAGUACAAGUUUGAUAGCAGUCAGUACUGAUUUAAUCCUCCGAGAAAUAAUAAUAUAAAAAAAGUGCAUAUAUCUGUGUUAAUGUCUAAGAGUAUUCGCUGCUGGGUCAUGGAUGUAUUGAAUCGAAUCGCUCGAUGCGGACAGAAACCCAUUUUAAAAGCUGGUGAGCUAGAGUUGAACACAAGAUUCCGCAUACAUAAUAUUAGACGCACAAAGUCUCUGUUCGGAAAUUCAGUGCUUGUUGAGUUGGACAAUUAUGCAGUGUUUCUGCCGAGAAGAAUAAGUGAUUAUUUAACUGAGGAGAAAAUUGAUGAGUUAUUACGAGAUCCACGUCCACUAUAUUUAAUAUAUUUGGGAAAAGAAGAUGCUAGAAACCCGACAUCUGCACAUUGUUUUGAGUUUCAACGUGUUGAUGAUGAAAUAUUAGGUGAGUGAACAUAAUGUAAAAUGGAGGAUGAAAAGAAAUUAAAGAAAUGUAUAUUUCAUUUACAGUUAACGAGAGUGCCGAAGAGUAGGAUGAAAUUAUCGGAAAAAGACUUAUGUGUGUGAAGUAGUGUGCGUUUUGUGCUAGUGAUAGUUUCUUAAAAUAAAUGAAUAAAAAUCAUGUGUCUAGACGAUGGACAAUAUGAAAAAUGUUUAUACGAGUGUUUUGAUAAAAGACUGUUAUCAUAUAAGAACUGGGUACAUUCAUACCCAUCUCCAUGGAGUUUAGCAAAAGCGGGAUUGUUUUAUAUUCAAAUAUCUGAUUGUACCCAGUGUUUUGUUUGUGGAGUAAUAAUUUCACGAUGGGAAAAAAGUGAUGAUGCGUUUAUGGAGCAUAAAAAACAUUCUCCAAAAUGUGGAUAUGUGAAAUUGCUUUCCACAGACAAAACUACAAUUCAAAAAUUCAAAUUAGUUACUAAAAAUAGCAUUGUUGUAGUUUUAUUUUUUAUAGUAUUUGUAUUCAUGUAUUAUUUAUGGGCGUCUUCUUAUGCAUAGGUAAUGUGAUGCAGACUUGUUAACCUUGAUCAGUGUCGGGCGCGCGCCAAAGGUGAGGUAAACUAAAGGUUUCAAGAGACGUCUUGAUUUAAUUAGUUUAUAAUUAAAUAAGUGGUAGAAUAAUAUGGAGGAUUUAUAAUAGAUUUAAGGAUAUUUAAUGUACUACCUAUAAUAUUGAUGAAAUAAAGUGUUUUAAUUGA